AGCUGUGUAGUAUAAUUGGUAGGGAACUGGGCUUGUAACCCAAAGGUUGCUGGUUCAAUUGUCCAGUCACAUAGUUA
rnacentral:tRNA from 1 species